CCGGCGGUGGUCAGACGGUCAUCAUGGUGGGCUUCAAACCCUUCUGUCCCGGGUUCGAACCCUCCGCCCGCCGCU
rnacentral:tRNA from 1 species